rnacentral:rRNA from 1 species
GGAAUAUUGCACAAUGGGCGAAAGCCUGAUGCAGCAACGCCGCGUGAGCGAUGAAGGCCUUCGGGUCGUAAAGCUCUGUCCUAAAGGAAGAAUUUUUGACGGUACUUUAGGAGGAAGCCCCGGCUAAUUACGUGCCAGCAGCCGCGGUAAUACGUAAGGGGCUAGCGUUAUCCGGAAUUACUGGGCGUAAAGGGUACGUAGGCGGUUUAUUAAGUCAGGGGUGAAAGGCUACGGCUCAACCGUAGUAAGCCUUUGAAACUGAUAAACUUGAGUAUGGUAGAGGAAAGUGGAAUUCCUGGUGUAGCGGUGAAAUGCGUAGAUAUCAGGAGGAACAUCGAUGGCGAAGGCAGCUUUCUGGGCCAUUACUGACGCUGAGGUACGAAAGCGUGGGGAGCGAACAGGAUUAGAUACCCUGGUAGUCCACGCCGUAAACGAUGAGUGCUAGGUGUUGGGGGUCGAACCUCGGUGCCGCAGUUAACGCAUUAAGCA